rnacentral:rRNA from 1 species
UUCGUAGGCGGUGCGGAAAGUUGGGAGUGAAAUCUCUGGGCUUAACUCAGGGACUGCUUUCAAAACUUCCGUGCUGGAGUGCGAGAGAGGCAAGUGGAAUUGCAGGUGUAGCGGUGAAAUGCGUAGAUAUCUGCAGGAACACCCGUGGCGAAGGCGGCUUGCUGGAUCGCAACUGACGCUGAGGAACGAAAGCUAGGGGAGCAAACAGGAUUAGAUACCCUGGUAGUCCUAGCCCUAAACGAUCAGAACUUGGGGUGCAUCCCGUUGGGGGUGCGUCUCGUAGCUAACGCGUUAAGUUCUGCGCCUGGGGAGUACGGUCGCAAGACUGAA